rnacentral:rRNA from 13 species
UUUGGCACAGCUUGUACAGUAUAGGUAGGAGCCUUUGAAACGUGAGCGCUAGCUUACGUGGAGGCGUUGGUGGGAUACUACCCUAGCUGUGUUGGCUUUCUAACCCGCACCACUUAUCGUGGUGGGAGACAGUGUCAGGCGGGCAGUUUGACUGGGGCGGUCGCCUCCCAAAGAGUAACGGAGGCGCCCAAAGGUACGCUCAGAUUGGAUGGAAACCAAUCGUCGAGUGCAAUUGCAGAAGCGUGCUUGACUGUGAGACAAACAAGUCGAACAGGGACGAAAGUCGGCCAUAGUGACCCGGGAGCACCGUGUGGAAGGGCUCUCGAUCAA